rnacentral:tRNA from 1 species
GCUCUCGUGGCGAAAUUGGUAGUACGCGCUAGUCUUAGGAACUAGUGGCUUAGUCCGUGAGGGUUCGAGUCCCUCUGAGAGCA